rnacentral:rRNA from 1 species
AUAGCGUAUAUUAAAGUUGUUGCAGUUAAAAAGCUCGUAGUUGGAUUUCAAAGACAAGGUGAGGCAACUCGCCGAAGCUUAUCAGUCCGAAAGGACUGUUACUGUGAGAAAAUUAGAGUGUUUCAAGCAGGCUAUUGCAGGAAUACAUUAGCAUGGAAUAACGAAUGUGUCUAGAAUCUUGGUUAAUUCUAGAUUACGAUUAAUAGGGACAGUUGGGGGCAUUAGUAUUUAAUUGUCAGAGGUGAAAUUCUUGGAUUUGUUAAAGACUAACGUAUG